rnacentral:RNase_P_RNA from 1 species
GGAGAAGAUAAAAUGUCUGCCCGGUUUUUGGAGUGCAUUUUUUUUCAAAAGAAUGUCAUGAUAUUGCAAUCACGAUUUCAGUAGAUCAAGCCACUCCAAAAUACCGGAAGGAAAGUCCGAACACCACAGGGCAGGAUACUUUCUAACGGAAAGUCCCGGUGACGGGGAGAAAGCUCCACAGAAAUAAACUACCCGACCACUACUUUGAACUCUGAAACCAGUUUUCAAAAUAGUGGUCAGGAAAAGGUGAAAUGGUAGUGUAAGAGACUACCGGUUUCCGGUGUGAAUCGGAAAGCCCGGAAUGCCUUAUCCGGUGCAAUGCCAAAUAGGAGAACAGGUUUGCCCGACCGGAUUGUUCUCGGGUGGGCAGCUAAAACCGGUCCAUUAAAUGGAUCUCUUUUGAGAAUAGCAAUAUCCGGUUUAGAGAAAUAGACAUUGGAUUACCUGUUAGGUAAUUUACAGAAUUCGGCUUAAUAUCUUCUCCGGUG